ACAAGUAGUUUACUCUGCUGUGACUAUACGUAAAACUCCACAAGCUCUCCAACGAGAAUCCAGCUCCACAGCAGCCGAAACAGAGCAGGAAUGUCUCUACUCAGCUGUCCUGAAGGCCACAAACACCAGAGACACCUGACUGAAGAAGGAAGGAGAGCCUGCGUGCUAAUUUGGGUAAGACUUUA